rnacentral:rRNA from 1 species
AUGGCUGGAUUUGCUGAUGCACUGAGGCCGGAUAAGUUUACCGGUGUGCACUUUAAGAGGUGGCAGGUGAAGACCACGCUCUGGCUUACUGCUCUGAAAGUUUUCCACGCUAGUGUUGGUGCUCCAGAGGGAAUAACCGACGAAGAUCGGAGAAAAUUCCAGGAAGCCAAUACUAUGUUUGUGGGAUGCAUUCUGAGUGUUCUUGCUGACCGUCUGUGUGAUGUGUACAUGCACAUAAACGACGGAAAAAUUCUGUGGGAUGCACUGAAUGCAAAAUUCGGUGCAACAGAUGCAGGCAGUGAACUGUACAUCAUGGAGAGUUUUCAUGACUACAAGAUGGUGAAUAACCGUUCUGUGGUUGAACAAGCUCAUGAGAUACAGUGCAUUGUGAAGGAACUUGAACUCCUUAAAUGUGUUCUACCCGAUAAAUUCGUGGCUGGGUGCAUGAUUGCAAAGUUGCCUCCUUCAUGGAGGAAUUUCGCCACAACUCUGAAGCAUAAGAGACAGGAGAUAUCAGUUGAAAAUCUGAUUGCAUCUCUUGAUGUUGAAGAAAAAGCUCGGGCUAAAGAUACCACUGAAAAAGGAGGUGAGGUUCAGCCUACUGCUAACAUGGUGCAGAGGUACCCACAGAACAAGAACAAAGGGAAGAACAAACCUGUUUUCAACAAGCCUACCAAGACUACUACUUUCAAGAAGAAGAAGUUCAACAAGGCUGAGCUAGAGUGCUACGCCUGUGGGAAGCCUGGACACUUUUCCAAGGAAUGCCCUGAACGUGCAGACCGCAGAGGGAAAACAAGCUCCAAGACUGUCAACAUGGUGACCGCUAGCAAUACUGAUGGGUCGCAAGGGAUUCUUCCGUCCUAA